GACAUAUCACGUUGAAGCAACGGUUCUCGUUCGAUCACCGAAGUUAAGAGACGUUGAAUUUGGUCUGUACCUAGAUGGGUGACCGUUCGAAAAUACCAGGUGCUGUAAG